rnacentral:piRNA from 1 species
UAUACUUCCAGAGACAAACAAAUGUUUAC